CUGAGUUUUGUCAUGCCUAAGGCAGCACAAAACCAGGAUACACCACUGCCCCUGACGCAGACCAAGGUCUGGGCCCCCAGUGGCCUGCCCCCGAGUCUGCCCACAUGACCCGCCCCCAGAUUCACCCACAGGGCCCAUCCUGAGUCACAAGAAUGACAUUUGUGUGUACUGAAUUUGGUGUGUGUAUAGUGGCUGUAGAAUAUGUGUAGUGGAUGCAAAGUGCAUCAGUAAAGUGGAUGUGGUGUUUAUAGUGGAUGCAGAUUAUCUGUUUGUGUAGUGGAUAGAGUGUGUGUACAGUGGAUUUUUGGUGUCUAUAGUGAAUGCAGAGUGUGUGUUUGUGUAGUGGAUGUAGUGUGU